rnacentral:rRNA from 1 species
UCAAGCGAACAAGGGCGCAGGGCGAAUGCCUUGGCACUGGGAGCCGAUGAAAGACGUGAUAAGCUGCGAUAAGCUUCGGGGAGCUGCAAAUAAGCAUUGAUCCGGAGAUUUCUGAAUGAGGAAACUCACCUGGGUUCAUACUCAGGUACGUUAUACUGAACUUUAAAAUAGGUAUAUCGAGGGAACCGCCUGAACUGAAACAUCUAAGUAGGGCGAGGAAGAGACAUCAAACGAGAUUCCGUAAGUAGUGGCGAGCGAACGCGGAAGAGGGCAAACCGAGAGUAGAAAUACUUUCGGGGUACGGAGCGCAUUUAGGACUUAAGUUGUUAACCGAACGGCAUGGGAAGGCCGGUCAGAGAGUGUGAGAACCACGUAGGUGAAAACGACAAGAGCUGAGCGAUUUCCAGAGUACGGCCAGACACGUGAAACCUGGUCGGAAGAUGGGGGGACCACCCUCCAACCCUAAAUACUACCCAGUGACCGAUAGCGUAUAGUACUGUGAAGGAAAGGUGAAAAGCACCCCGGGAGGGGAGUGAAAAAGAACCUGAAACCCUGUGCCUACAAGCACCUAGAGCACGUCAAUGUGUGAUAGGGUACUUUUUGUAGAACGGUCCGGCGAGCGAUUGUAUGCAGCAAGGUUAAGGACUUAAGGUCUGGAGCCGAAGCGAAAGCGAGUUUGAAAAGGGCGUUAAGUUGCAUAUAAUGGGCCCGAAACCGGGUGACCUACCCAUGGUCAGGUUGAAGUGGAAGUAAAAUUCCAUGGAGGACCGAACCGACCUCCGUUGAAAAGGCGGCGGAUGAACUGUGGGUAGCGGAGAAAUUCCAAUCGAACCCGGAGAUAGCUGGUUCUCCCCGAAAUAGUUUUAGGACUAGCCUCAAGUUAGAUACCUGGAGGUAAAGCACUGAAUAGCCUAGCGGCCGAGAGGUUAGCGAAGCUUAUCAAACUCAGAAUGCCAGAGUAUUGAUGCUUGGGAGUCAGACAGUGUCAGAUAAAUGUCAUUGUCAAAAGGGAAACAGCCCAGAUCUACAGCUAAGGUCCCAAAGUCAGGUUAAGUGGAAAACGAUGUGAAGAUACGCAGACAACCAGGAUGUUGGCUCAGAAGCAGCCACUCAUUCAAAGAGUGCGUAAUAGCUCACUGGUCGAGCGUCUUUGCGCGGAGAAUUUAACGGGGCUAAACCUGACACCGAAGCUUAGGCAAUCCAGCAAUGGAUUGGGUAGGGGAGCGUUGUAUACGCGGAGAAACAGUAGCGUAAGCGGCUGUGGAGUGUAUAGAAGUGAGAAUGCCGGAAUGAGUAGCGCGAAUGCAGUGAGAAUCUGCAUGGCCGAAAGCCUCAGGUUUCUGGAGGAAGGUUCGUCCGCUCCAGGUCAGUCGGGAGCUAAGGUGAGGCCUAACGGCGUAGCCGAUGCACAGACGGUAGAGAUUCCGUCACCACCAAAAGAGUUAAGCACAGGGACACAUUUGAAGUCUCAGAGCCGGGUGUUGGUUCCGGUAGAGAUCGAGGGAAGUUAGUACCGAAGUCUGGGAUGGAGGAUGGCGAGAAAAGCUGUGUGUAUUUCUGAGGUGCCCGUACCGCAAACCGACACAGGUAGGUAGGAAGAAGAUUCUAAGGCCAACGGGAGAAGGGUUGUUAAGGAACUCGGCAAAUUGACCCCGUAACUUCGGGAGAAGGGGUGCUCCAGAGAUGGAGCCGCAGAGAAUCGGCCCAAGCAACUGUUUACCAAAAACACAGGUUUGUGCUAAAUCGAAAGAUGACGUAUACGAGCUGACGCCUGCCCGGUGCUGGAAGGUUAAGAGGAGAUGUGCAAGCAUUGAAUCGAAGCCCCAGUGAACGGCGGCCGUAACUAUAACGGUCCUAAGGUAGCGAAAUUCCUUGUCAGGUAAGUUCUGACCCGCACGAAAGGCGUAAUGAUUUGGGCACUGUCUCAACAGCCCGCCCGGCGAAAUUGUAGUACCGGUGAAGAUGCCGGUUACCCGCGACAAGACG